rnacentral:sRNA from 1 species
GCUGGGUGUGGAGGCGCACGCCUGUAAUCCCAGUGGCACAGAAGGCUGAGGCAGGAGGAUAGUGAGUUCAAAGCCAGCCUCAGCAAAUAAGUGAGGCCCUAAGCAACUCAGUGAGACCCUGUCUCUA